AUUGAACGCUGGCGGCAGGCUUAACACAUGCAAGUCGAGCGGGGGAAGGUAGCUUGCUACCGGACCUAGCGGCGGACGGGUGAGUAAUGCUUAGGAAUCUGCCUAUUAGUGGGGGACAACAUCUCGAAAGGGAUGCUAAUACCGCAUACGUCCUACGGGAGAAAGCAGGGGAUCUUCGGCCCUUGCGCUAAUAGAUGAGCCUAAGUCGGAUUAGCUAGUUGGCGGGGUAAAGGCCUACCAAGGCGACGAUCUGUAGCGGGUCUGAGAGGAUGAUCCGCCACACUGGGACUGAGACACGGCCCAGACUCCUACGGGAGGCAGCAGUGGGGAAUAUUGGACAAUGGGGGGAACCCUGAUCCAGCCAUGCCGCGUGUGUGAAGAAGGCCUUAUGGUUGUAAAGCACUUUAAGCGAGGAGGAGGCUACUCUAGUUAAUACCUAGGGAUAGUGGACGUUACUCGCAGAAUAAGCACCGGCUAACUCUGUGCCAGCAGCCGCGGUAA
rnacentral:rRNA from 1 species